UCAUUAGAGCGUACAUAUUUACACCCAGCUUGUCAUACAGGUCACACUAGGUGACUUCGACUCGUGUGCUAGCAUAGACUGAUGAGCAAUAGGUCCAGUUGUACAUGUCACAUUAGGUGAAUCUGACUGGCAUGCUAGUUAGACUGAUUUCACACUUGGCUUACGCCUAUUAUUGCUGAGAUAUCGUGGCAUGGCAUGUUUCUAUUUUCACUGCACUCAUGCAUUCGUUUUCGUACUUAUGUAGUAUUAUUUUCUGGAAACUAUACGGGUUUUAUAGUGAAGGGUUAUUACUUUCAGAAAAGAGAAAUGUGUUUUCUAAAGUUUUGUUUUAGCCCACUCACCGUUCUGUUUUUUGGCCCCUCCAUGUCCUAGAUAGCCGUUCUCUUGUGGCACACAAGGACUAAUCGGCAAUUAUGACACUCCAUCAAAUAAUGUAGGGAUAUUUUACCUUUGGUUGUGUAUUUACUACUUAAUCAGUUCGACUGCACCUUUAUGUUAUCUAUGCUCUGAAUGUUUGUAGUUUGGGUUUGACCAUUUCCGCAUACUUACUUAAUUCUCGCUUAAAUAAGUUUUAAUUUGGUUUUUAUUUGUUUGUUCACAUUCUUAUUUACUUCUCUUACACUCUUGGCUACGUCACUCUCACGUGACGGCCAGCACACCUUGACUUCGAU
rnacentral:lncRNA from 1 species